rnacentral:rRNA from 1 species
CGCCAGACUCCUACGGGAGGCAGCAGUGAGGAAUAUUGGUCAAUGGGCGGGAGCCUGAACCAGCCAAGCCGCGUGAAGGAAGAAGGCGCCAGGCGUCGUAAACUUCUUUUGUCGGGGAACAAAGGGCGCCACGCGUGGCGUUGUGAGUGUACCCGAAGAAAAAGCAUCGGCUAACUCCGUGCCAGCAGCCGCGGUAAUACGGAGGAUGCGAGCGUUAUCCGGAUUUAUUGGGUUUAAAGGGUGCGCAGGCGGAAGAUCAAGUCAGCGGUAAAAUGGGGAGGCUCAACCUCUUCGAGCCGUUGAAACUGGCAGUCUCGAGUUGGAGAGAAGUAUGCGGAAUGCGCGGUGUAGCGGUGAAAUGCAUAGAUAUCGCGCAGAACUCCGAUUGCGAAGGCAGCAUGCCGGCUCCACACUGACGCUGAGGCACGAAAGCGUGGGUAUCGAACAGGAUUAGAUACCCGAGUA